GUGAGAAGUAGUGGAAUCGAUACCCACAUUUUCCAAAGCACAUAUAGGCAACGAGUGGAUUUUUUAUUAGCAUGUAAAAAUAGAGGCAACAUAUCAACUUAUCGAAUGUUUAUAAAAAAUCAAUAUAUUCACAAUGUCAAUCAAAAGAUUACAAAUGAAUUUCUUAACUCUCGAUUGAUGCAAACAAUAAAGAAUAUUUUUCAAUGUAUUUUCUGAUGCUUCUCAGUUACAUAGACGUCGAUAAUACGCCUUUCCAUAAAAGCAGAGUGGCGCAGCGGAAGCGUGCUGGGCCCAUAACCCAGAGGUCGAUGGAUCGAAACCAUCCUCUGCUAACAAGUCUUUUUCAUCAAUCUUAGCUCGGUUUUAGUUAUCGCAGAUUUAUCGGCUAAGUUUGUUGUGGCUUUGCAUAGAUAUUUUGCAAAAAGUGCUAUGGCAUAUGUCACGAAAAAA